rnacentral:rRNA from 1 species
UACGUAGGUGGCAAGCGUUGUCCGGAUUUACUGGGCGUAAAGAGCGCGCAGGCGGUCGUUCAAGUCGCGUGUGAAAGCCCCCGGCUCAACUGGGGAGGGUCACGCGAUACUGAUCGACUCGAAGGCAGGAGAGGGUAGUGGAAUUCCAGGUGUAGCGGUGAAAUGCGUAGAUAUCUGGAGGAAUACCGGUGGCGAAGGCGGCAUCCUGGACCGACAUUGACGCUGAUGAGCGAAAGCUAGGGGAGCAAACGGG